UCCAUGCCCCCAAAGCAGUUUAAACCUAACAUCCUAACAUUCAUUCAGCCAUUCUACCACGAUUUGUUGACCACCUGCUAUCUGUUUGCAAACCUUAUGCUGAGACUUGGGGGAUUUACAGCCAUAAUACAGAAAUCUUUCCAGGAUCUAGUGUUGGUACAGAGAUGGAAAUACAUCACGAAAGUCAAGAGUGCAACAAAUGCUAAUUAGAGUCACGAGCAAUUCAGCAAUUCGAUGGAGACUGUAAGUAAAUGCAGUGACAAAAACAACUGGUAUUUGGGAAAGGGGAAUCCACAGGAGUAGGCAGUGAUUGGUUUAGGAAAAAGGUGCCAUCCUGGAUGUUUUUCAUAUGGGCCCCCAAGAAGAGGAUGGUGUCGUUAACAAAUACAGAAAACUGGAAAGGUGAAUCCGGUUGUAUAGGCAAGUGAAUUAAUUUUGGACAUACUGAAUUUGAGAUGCUCACUCAGCAGCCAGUAUUUAAAGUUCUAUAGCAGGCAGGUGGACAUUUUGGUUUAAAGCUCAGGUUGAGGAGUGCCUUGAAGUUAUGGGUAAGAGUAAUAAAUGGAUGUGCUAUUCAAAACCAUGGAAGGGACUGGUAUCUUCAAAUGAAAAGCUAAGAGUUGGAAAGGACUCUGAAGGUCAUCUUGUUCAACUCCACUAUAAACCCCUCAUGCGUUAAACUCUUGUAACAAAUUUAUUCAAUAAGCAUUUAUUGGAUGUCUGUUAGACCCUACCAUGCUAUAGGACUAAUGUAGGCAAUGGACAUAAGAAGUUCAACAGGAGGAGCCUGCAUUCUGUGGGAGAGGUGAACAAGAUCACUGCUGUCAAUGCCAUUUUGGAGGUAUAGACUAGUACCACAGUGGAAGGAGUUCAAGGAACCCUUUAUGGGCACUGAAUGAUGACUUUAAGGCCACAGAAAUGGAGACAGAGCCAGGUCUUGUGAAUCUCAGGCUGGCAUUCUGCUGACUACAUGGAACUGCAUCAGACCAGAGGAUUCACCUGUGAACUCUCAGCGCGAUAGAAGCCUUGUUGGAACAGGCAAAACCUGGCCUAUACUCCCCUCUACUCCUUGAUAACACAGGAUGAAAAGAUGCCAACUAUAAAUACCUAAAGUAAGAGAGAGAGAGCGCACAAGCAGGGGAAGCAGCAGAGAGAG